rnacentral:rRNA from 1 species
AGGGAAUCUUCCACAAUGGACGCAAGUCUGAUGGAGCAACGGCCGCGUGAGUGAAGAAGGUUUUCGGACCGUAAAGCUCUGUUGUUGGUGAAGAAGGAUAGAGGUAGUAACUGGCCUUUAUUUGACGGUAAUCAACCAGAAAGUCACGGCUAACUACGUGCCAGCAGCCGCGGUAAUACGUAGGUGGCAAGCGUUGUCCGGAUUUAUUGGGCGUAAAGCGAGCGCAGGCGGAAGAAUAAGUCUGAUGUGAAAGCCCUCGGCUUAACCGAGGAAUUGCAUCGGAAACUGUUUUCUGAGUGCAGAAGAGGAGAGUAGAACUCCAUGUGUAGCGGUGGAAUGCGUAGAUAUAUGGAAGAAUACCAGUGGCGAAGGCGGCUCUCUGGUCUGCAACUGACGCUGAGGCUCGAAAGCAUGGGUAGCGAACAGGAUUAGAUACCCUGGUAGUCCAUGCCGUAAACGAUGAGUGCUAAGUGUUGGGAGGCUUCCGCCUCUCAGUGCUGCAGCUAACGCAUUAAGCAGUCCGCCUGGGGGAGUACGACCGCAAGGUUGAAAC